rnacentral:rRNA from 1 species
AGGGUUUGAUCAUGGCUCAGAACGAACGCUGGCGGCAGGCCUCAUACAUGCAAGUCGAGCGGUCCUUCGGGACAGCGGCGAACGGGUUAGUAACGCGUGGGAACGUGCCCUUUAGUACGGAAUAGCCAUUGGAAACGAUGAUUAAUACCGUAUACGCCCCAAGGGGGAAAGAUUUAUCGCUAAAGGAUCGGCCCGCGUUAGAUUAGGUAGUUGGUAGGGUAAUGGCCUACCAAGCCUAUGACGCGUAGCAGGUCUUAGCGGAUGAUCUGCCACAUGGGGACUGAGAUACGGCCCUGACUCCUACGGGAGGCAGCAGUGAGGAAUAUUGGGCAAUGGACGAAAGUCUGACCCAGCGAUGCCGCGUGAAGGAUGAAGGCCUUAGGGUUGUAAACUUCUGUCAGCAGGGAAGAUAAUGACGGUACCUGCAGAGGAAGCCCCGGCUAACUCCGUGCCAGCAGCCGCGGUAAUACGGAGGGGGCAAACGUUACUCGGAUUUACUGGGCGUAAAGGGUCCGUAGGCGGUUUUUUAAGUUAGAUGUGAAAGCUUGAAGCUUAACUUCAAAAUUGCAUCUAAAACUGGAUUACUUGAUUAUUGGAGAGGUUGAUGGAAUUACCGGUGUAGCGGUGAAAUGCGUAGAUAUCGGUAGGAACACCAGUGGCGAAAGCGAUCAACUGGCCAAUUAAUGACGCUGAGGGACGAAAGCGUGGGUAGCAAACAGGAUUAGAUACCCUGGUAGUCCACGCCCUAAACGAUGAAUACUAGAUGUAGGAUUUUUUCUGUAUCGUAGCUAACGCAUUAAGUAUUCCGCCUGGGGAGUACGGUCGCAAGGCUGAAACUCAAAGGAAUUGGCGGGGACUCGCACAAGCGGUGGAGCAUGUGGUUUAAUUCGAUGCAACGCGAAAAACCUUACCUACACUUGACAUACUUGGUAUCUUCUGUAAUCGAAGAGUGCCUUUUGGAACCAAGAUACAGGUGCUGCAUGGCUGUCGUCAGCUCGUGUCGUGAGAUGUUGGGUUAAGUCCCAUAACGAGCGCAACCCUUACCCUUAUUUGCCAGCGAUUCGGUCGGGAACUAUAAGGGGACUGCCGGUGAUAAACCGGAGGAAGGUGAGGACGACGUCAAGUCAUCAUGGCCCUUACGUGUAGGGCUACACACGUGCUACAAUGGGGAGUACAGAUGGACGCUAAAGCGCGAGCUGGUGCUAAUCCCAAAAAACUCCUCGUAGUCCGGAUUGCAGUCUGCAACUCGACUGCAUGAAGUCGGAAUCGCUAGUAAUCGCGCAUCAGCACGGCGCGGUGAAUACGUUCCCGGGUCUUGUACACACCGCCCGUCAAGCCAUGGAAGUCGGCAGUACCCGAAGCCGGUGGCCCAACCUUUUGGAGGGAGCCGUCUAAGGUAAGGCUGGUAACUAGGGCUAAGUCAUAACAAGGUAGCCGUA